AGUAGGUGAGGGUUAGUAUCCAGGAAAGAAGCUUGGAUGGAAGAAGUCAAUCCAGAAUUGUGACCAUCUUGGCAAACAUGUCUGUCCUAGAACAGUGUGCCUCUGACAUCAUUCAGGAGAAUGGGGUCCAGCUUAUCAUGGGCAUGCUGUCUGAAAAACCAAGGUCUGGGACUCCUGCUGAAGUGGCAGCCUGUGAGCGAGUCCAGCAGAAAGCUGCAGUGACCCUGGCUCGUCUCAGCCGAGACCCAGAUGUAGCACGGGAGGCUGUGCGGCUCAGCUGCAUGUCCCGUCUCAUCGAGCUCUGCAGAUCCCCAUCAGAGAGGAACAGCAGUGACGCCGUGCUUGUGGCCUGCCUGGCUGCUCUGCGUAGAUUGGCUGGGGUCUGCCCUGAAGGCCUCCAGGACUCUGACUUUCAGCAGUUGGUCCAGCCUCGGCUGGUGGACUCCUUCUUACUCUGCAGCAACAUGGAGGAGAGUUUUGUGUAGUGAGUGUGGGAGAAGAAAUACAUUUGGCUGUUCUCACACCCCCUCUGACUACGCACCAGUGAACACAUCUGAGUACACACCAGCUCGCCUCAUCUUCUUAUUUAUACUUAACUUAUUUUUGUGUGAAAUAAAUGGAGGGCGAAAUCUUAGAGCAACAUCAUCAAACAGUCUGUGGUCCUUGGGAAUCUUCUUUGUGUUUUAUUUUUUGAUUUCUGUAGCUUUUCAGUUGCAGAUGUUGAAAUUUGUAAUGACCAAUAUGACAAAUUGCCAUGGGUGAU
rnacentral:sRNA from 1 species